ACUGAGCAGCACGUGUCCUAUUCUGCCAUUGGCCCUAUCUCUUCCCCUUCUUUUGCUGCUGCUGAAUUGUGUCAGAAUGAGAAGUAGUGUGGAUUGAAGGAUGCAAACAAGAAUCCCAUCUUCUCACAGAGAAGCACAGGAGCGAACAAACAUGAGUUCGGCCCUCAGCAUAGUUACCGCACCUGCAAAUCUGAUGAAGCUCCAACCAUUUCCGACUAUUAUUUGGAGAAAAAUUGAUGUAGACAUAUCCUUCUCCCCUCCUGCAAAUCAUCCUUUGGAGCUUAGCUUCAAGCCAAUGUUUCCCAUUGUGUGACUGAGAAGGCCAGGGAAGGACUGUAGCCCAGUAGAAGAACAUCUGCUUUGCAAACAGAAG